rnacentral:rRNA from 1 species
UGGGGAAUUGUUCGCAAUGGGCGCAAGCCUGACGACGCAACGCCGCGUGGAGGACGAAGAUCUUCGGGUCGUAAACUCCUUUCGAUCGGGAAGAACGCUUUCGGAGUGAAUACCUCCGGAGGGUGACGGUACCGAGAGAAGAAGCCCCGGCUAACUCCGUGCCAGCAGCCGCGGUAAUACGGGGGGGGCAAGCGUUGUUCGGAAUUACUGGGCGUAAAGGGCGUGUAGGCGGCCAACUAAGUCCGACGUGAAAUCCCCAGGCUUAACCUGGGAACUGCGUCGGAUACUGGAUGGCUUGAAUCCGGGAGAGGGAUGCAGAAUUCCAGGUGUAGCGGUGAAAUGCGUAGAUAUCUGGAGGAAUACCGGUGGCGAAGGCGGCAUCCUGGACCGGCAUUGACGCUGAAGCGCGAAAGCUAGGGGAGCAAACGG